GCCAGCGUGGCAUAGUGGUUUGAGCACUGGACCAGGACUCUGGAGACCAAGGUUCACUUCCCCGCUCAGCCA